UUUUGUGAGUAAUUUUUACUUUGUGCAACACAAGCUAUCUAUCCUCUUGUGUUUUCUCUGCCCAACCCUAGGGAUCAAGCCUUUCUCCAAAGAGCCUUGGUUGCUUUUACUGCAGAAGGGUACUUAAUGGUACUUAAAACUACGAUCUGGGCACUAAGUUCAUUGCUGUUGGGAGUAUUAUUUCUUCCAGACCUUCUCAGCAGACAAAGCUAGAAAAUAUAGACAAUAGCUCUGUAGCCCAGGCUGAAGUGCAGUGUGGCAAGAUCUCAGCUCACUACAACCUCUGCCAGCCACCCGCAUUCAAACGGUUCUCCUGCCUCAGCCUCUGGAGUAGCUGGAAUUACAGAAAAAGAAUCAUUAGUUUCAUCAGAUUCUCCAAAGAGUUGAUGCUUCCCAGAAACAUAAAAAGAAUUAAACAGAGAAAAGCAAAACACAGAGGCAUGUCCCUACUACACAGUCCCGAUGAUCACCCUCUGCCAUAUUUGCUUCAGCUGUUUCACCCGUUUAACUUUUCAAUGACAGAAAAUAAACAUUGCAAAUCAGGUGGAAGGUCCUGUGCAGCCUAUCCUUUUCCA